rnacentral:ncRNA from 2 species
UGAGAUGAAGCACUGUAUCUC